GGGGGAAUCUUGCACAAUGGGCGAAAGCCUGAUGCAGCAACGCCGCGUGCGGGAAGAAGGCCCUAGGGUUGUAAACCGCUUUCAGUAGGGAAGAAAAUGACGGUACCUACAGAAGAAGGUGCGGCCAACUACGUGCCAGCAGCCGCGGUGACACGUAGGCACCAAGCGUUAUCCGGAUUUAUUGGGCGUAAAGAGCUCGUAGGCGGUUUGGUAAGUCGGGUGUGAAAACUCUGGGCUCAACCCAGAGAGG
rnacentral:rRNA from 1 species